AUUAAAUAGAGUUUGAUCCUGGCUCAGAAUAAAUGCUAUUGGUAUGCUUAACACAUGCAAGUUGAAUGUUUAAUUUUUAAACAUAGCGAACGGGUGAGUAACGCGUGAAUUAUCUACCUUUUAAUUCAGGAUAAUUAUUUUAUAUAAAAAUACUGAAUAAUUUUAAUAAAGUUUUAAUAACGUUAAAAGAUGAGUUUGCGUAAGAUUAGGUAGUUGGUAGUUUAAAAGACUACCAAGCCGACUAUCUUUAGCUGGUUUGAAAGAAUGAUCAGCCACAUUGGGACUGAGACACGGCCCAAACUUUUUUAAAGGCAGCAGUGGGGAAUUUUGGACAAUGAGCGAAAGCUUGAUCCAGCAAUACCAAGUGAGUGAAGAAGGCUAAUUAGGUUGUAAAGCUCUUUCAUUAAGGAGGAAAAUGACAGUACUUAAAAAAGAAGUUCCGGCUAAUACCCGUGCCAGCAGCUGCGGUAAUACGGGAGGAGCGAGCAUUAUUCGGAAUGAUUAGGCGUAAAGGGUUUGUAGGUGGUUUUUUAAGUUGAAAAAAACAAAUUAAAGCUCAACUUUAUAAAUUUUUUCAAAACUGAAAAACUUGAGUAUAAAUAGAGGAUAAUGGAAUUUCUAUUGGAGGGAUAAAAUACGUUGAUAAUAGAAGGAAGAUCAAAAGCGAAGGCAAUUAUCUGGGUAUAUACUGACACUGAGAAACGAAAGCUUGGGUAGCGAACGGGAUUAGAUCCCCGGUAGUCCAUGCUGUAAACGAUGAGUGCUCAUAUUUAGAAUUUUUAGAUAUCAAGCUA
rnacentral:ncRNA from 1 species